rnacentral:rRNA from 1 species
GGAUCAAUAUUUCGGUCAUGCCGUUGGUAUGCACUGUUAUCAUUGAUUUCUCACCUUCUAAAGAACCAUAAUGCCAUUAAUUUGGUGUUACGGGGAAUUAGGACUGUUACCUUGAAAAAAUUAGAGUGUUUAAAGCAGGCUCACGCUUGAAUACAUUAGCAUGGAAUAAUGAAAUAGGACAUCCGAUUCUAUUUUGUUGGUUUCUAGGAUCGAUGUAAUGAUUAAUAGGGAUAGUUGGG